UGACACAGUGUCAUAUUCAAUUAGGAAAUGCAGAAGUGUGUGUGCCUGCAGUCCAGAUCUGUCACCUAUUGAAAAUGCAUGGUGCAUCAUGAAGAGGAGAAUCACAUAUCAACAACCAUCUACUGCUUUUGCUCAUUUCGCUCCUGGGUUCGAACCCCGGCUGGAGAGGCCUGGGUCCUCUCUGUGUUAGGGUUGCCAACUUUCAGAACUGGAAAUAAGGAACACCCUGGACUGGCGGGAUGCCAAGUGUUUACCUAGGACAUAGGACAUAGGAACAUUAUUAAAAUGUUUUAUUUAGGCUGUUUAACA